rnacentral:lncRNA from 1 species
AGAAUACAGCAGCAACAAGUACCAGGAAUAAAUCACGUUAGUAACUAGAACAGAGAAAGAAAAUGUAGAAGUGGCACGAGUCAUGAAUGGUGUCUUGAGUUACUGCUGCAUCGUCCGUAACAGAGGCCGAGGAACUCGCUGUGAUGGGUUGCAGCAUCUAUGCUGAUGCAGUCUCAGCCACAGGCUCCUCCUCACACCUGAAGUGAAACACGCAGGUUGGUCAGCAGAACUACAACAGUUUAGCUUUUGGAGAUGACAAAUAACUCAAAUUACCCUUGAUAUCUGUUUCAAAAAAAUUAACCUUCUAGUAUGGCCAUGUUAAUACAUAAAAUUAACCUUUUCCCUUUUACUUUCUAUGAAAAAUGUAAGAGACCAGAAUUCUACAUGUAGCUUUUGUAGACAUAAAUCCUAGAGAAAUACAACUCUGUACGAGAAUCACCCCAAAUAUGAACAGAACAAUUCGGUAUCGCCUAGACAAGGAAUUGAAAAUGCAUGAGCUGAUGCUAUUGUAUGAUACAGUUAUAUACUCCCAUAAAAGAAGUGUUGUUUAAGUACACUCUCUUCUCUUUAUUCCAUCUAUUAAGUAUAUACUCCCAUAAUAGAUAAAAGAAGUAUAUACUCCCAUAAAAGACUUCCAGCUGCCUUUCAGUGCCUACGUACAGUGCUUUGCAAUCAGGUUUAGGACUAGCACAGUGAAAACAAAACUAUCUACUUGUUGUACUUGUUAUGUUAAACCAUCGAAAUAAAUCUGGUGUGACACAGGUGGGUUAUGCUAUCCACGACACGAGCACUGCAUUUGUUAAUAUUGACUGUAGUAACGAGGGACUGUUCAAUGCUACAAUUCAACCACGGAGUAAACUCAAAUGAGCAUGGAAGAAGAGCUCACCUCGUUGAAGGCGAGGAUCUGGCCGUAGCUCUUCUUCACGCAUUCUCGAGAGGCUUCCGAAUUUGAAUCAUGUCCUCACCAGAACUUGGACUUGGCGUGGAUCUC